UGUGGUUAAAGCUGCUUCCCUGAUACCUCCCAUCUGCAAGGGAAAAUGCACCUCACAGACACUACCUUGUCUCACAACUGAGCUGGGAGACAAUUGGCAAAGACUUCCUCUUUUCAACUCCCUUGUUCAGUUGCCAAAGAUAGAAGCAAAUGAAAUUCCUUUAAUUUCACUGGAGCAUAACUCCAGUGCCUGCUGGAAAGAGCCACAGCAGCAGUUUCAGAGCAGCCACAGAUGAAUGCCUGACCAUGGGAUAACCUGUAGGCUCAUAGAAUCUGAUGAGCUCUGAAGUAGCAGCUACAAGAGAGGAAAUUCAACAGUAAUUAUAAUUCAAG